rnacentral:rRNA from 1 species
UACGAAGGGGGCUAGCGUUGUUCGGAAUUACUGGGCGUAAAGCGCGCGCAGGCGGUCUUCCAAGUCAGUGGUGAAAGCCUGGAGCUCAACUCCAGAACUGCCAUUGAAACUGUUAGACUUGAGUACGAGAGAGGUGAGUGGAAUUCCCAGUGUAGAGGUGAAAUUCGUAGAUAUUAGGAAGAACACCAGUGGCGAAGGCGGCUCACUGGUCCGGUACUGACGCUGAGGUGCGAAAGCGUGGGGAGCAAACAGG